UCAGAAUUAUGGCCCUUAUUACACUUAGAAAAUUUGAAUUUCUUGGUUAAAAUUUUUGUUUAGGACCACCUUUACAUGCUUGUUUAUCAUCAUUAGAUGACUAUGUAGGCCAAGAACCAUAACUAACCUACAUUUCGUGGCACCUGUAGGCGGUGCUCUUAAUUAAAAUUAAGAAAGGUAACCACUAUAACUCUGCUGAAGGGAGCUUAAUGUAUUGCAGUAAAAGAAAGAAAUUCUUUCAGGCAAACUUUGUUUCAAAGAAGCCUGAUGUGGCUAUGAAUCACCUUAAGUUACUGUAUAGACUGAGUCAUGAUAGUAUGUUGUUAUUAAUGUAACAUAAUAUUAUAUUAAUGAUAUGUGAAAUUGGUCUAUUGUACAUAAUUUUAUAUUUUUGCGGAAUGAUAUUGUAACAGCAAUUAAGUUGUUAAUGAAUAUGUAAUCAGUGGAAUGAUAUUGUAACGGUAAUUAAGUUGUUUAUGAAUAUGUUAUCAGUGGAAUGAUAUUGUAACAGCAAUUAAGUUGUUAAUGAAAAUGUUAUCAGUGGAAUGAUAUUGUAACAGCAAUUAAGUUGUUAAUGAAAUGUUAUCAGUGGAAUGAUAUUGUAACAGCAAUUAAGUUGUUAAUGAAAAUGUAAUUUAGAGAUUUGUUGAGGGCUGUAUCAAAACCUUUCACUUGUUUGUUGGUUUAGCUUCUUUCCUUCUAGCAGACGAGUGAGAUGGCCUUGGGAUUAUUGUUGCAACUGUUGAAGUAUUCAUCAGGUGGAGACACAUUAAGGAAGUGUUUGGUUGUUGGAUGUUGACUUUUAACACCUGGGUUACCAUUACCUGAUACCUGGAAUUGGUCACAAUUGAUGAAAAUGAAGAUUGGUGUUAUUGUAUUCUAUCAGUAAAAGGAACAGUGUACUGCAUAGGGAAUUGGAAAAGCUGUGGUUUCUAAAAAUCACAUUCUUGGAAGAAAAAUUCUACUGGAAUCCUGUAAUUUUCUUUUUGUGUUAAAAAUGAUCUUGCAGGCCCUCAAAUAUGAUGGAACUUGUAUUCUGUGUGUGUUUUAAGGAACAUUACUGAAAUGAAAAGAGGAUGGAAGGAGAAGUUUUGGAAAUUGUUUUAAGAUGUGUAUUUAAUCAUCAUUGUUGUGUGCAUAGUUUUAAUUUGGAAAUUUAAUGUGCUUAUUCAUUGUGUGUAAUAUAAUCGUGUUGACCACUGCAUUAUACUUCUGCAGCAAGAUGGUGGAAAUUCUUAGCAAGUUUUCACAUCUGUUUGAAAAGAAUCAUGUUGUGCAAAAAAGAGAAGUGACAGUAAAAGUGUUUUGAAAUGAAAUGUGUUUGUAAAUUUAGGGGGAUUAUAGUUGAGUUAUUGAUUCUUGUGUUUUUAUCUGCUGCUAAAUGAAAUUCUUUUGGCAUCUUUUCAAGUUUGAUGACCUAUUUGUUCAUGUGCAGGAAACAAUCAUUUAACAGGUGGAAAUAUUCUUUUGUUGUGUCACUAUGGUUCUUAAUUUCAUAACUAGGAAAUAGUGUGAUUUUUAUUUGUGACAUUUUUUCUAAAAAGUGUUUUUUAAAGAUUUUAAGUGGUGUAAUGCUGUGAGUCAUAUUUGAAAAUUAUUUUAGUCGCCUUAUUAACCUUUAUACUGUCCUCUAAGAGCUUCAGUUUUGUAACAUGUGCUGCUUUACAGUGAUUCAAUGGAAUGAAUAUUAAAUUAGAAUAGCUGACAAAUAAACCCUUGAAAAAGUU
rnacentral:lncRNA from 1 species